GAUCAUGGCUCAGAUUGAACGCUGGCGGCAUGCUUUACACAUGCAAGUCGAACGGUAACAGGCCUUCGGGCGCUGACGAGUGGCGAACGGGUGAGUAACGCAUCGGAACGUGCCCAGUCGUGGGGGAUAACGCAGCGAAAGCUGUGCUAAUACCGCAUACGAUCUGCGGAUGAAAGCGGGGGACCUUAGGGCCUCGCGCGAUUGGAGCGGCCGAUGUCAGAUUAGGUAGUUGGUGGGGUAAAGGCUCACCAAGCCGACGAUCUGUAGCUGGUCUGAGAGGACGACCAGCCACACUGGAACUGAGACACGGUCCAGACUCCUACGGGAGGCAGCAGUGGGGAAUUUUGGACAAUGGACGCAAGUCUGAUCCAGCCAUUCCGCGUGCAGGACGAAGGCCUUCGGGUUGUAAACUGCUUUUGUACGGAACGAAAAGGCUCUGGUUAAUACCUGGGGCUCAUGACGGUACCGUAAGAAUAAGCACCGGCUAACUACGUG
rnacentral:rRNA from 1 species